AUGAAAUUAAUAAACAGCUGCUAAUGCUCCAAUCAAAAUGGAUGUCCUUGAUGGGCAAGCAAAUGAAAUUUAACCACCCUGAAGCGUGGUAAGCGAAUCGGUUCCAAAGAUGAAAAUCCUCAAAUAAGAAAAGGAGCUAAAAAGAAAGAUGACCAAGUGAGGAUAUGAAUAAUUGAUUUUCCGAGUUCCAGAAGAACUUAUCAGGUACCUGAAAGAUAUGAAAAUAAAGAGAUCUC
rnacentral:lncRNA from 1 species